rnacentral:rRNA from 1 species
GAUGAACGCUGGCGGCGUGCCUAAUACAUGCAAGUCGAGCGAACAGAUAAGGAGCUUGCUCCUUUGACGUUAGCGGCGGACGGGUGAGUAACACGUGGGUAACCUACCUAUAAGACUGGGAUAACUUCGGGAAACCGGAGCUAAUACCGGAUAAUAUUUCGAACCGCAUGGUUCGAUAGUGAAAGAUGGUUUUGCUAUCACUUAUAGAUGGACCCGCGCCGUAUUAGCUAGUUGGUAAGGUAACGGCUUACCAAGGCGACGAUACGUAGCCGACCUGAGAGGGUGAUCGGCCACACUGGAACUGAGACACGGUCCAGACUCCUACGGGAGGCAGCAGUAGGGAAUCUUCCGCAAUGGGCGAAAGCCUGACGGAGCAACGCUGCGUGAGUGAUGAAGGUCUUCGGAUCGUAAAACUCUGUUAUUAGGGAAGAACAUACGUGUAAGUAACUGUGCACGUCUUGACGGUACCUAAUCAGAAAGCCACGGCUAACUACGUG